rnacentral:rRNA from 1 species
UACGUAGGGGGCAAGCGUUGUCCGGAAUCAUUGGGCGUAAAGAGCGUGUAGGCGGCCCGAUAAGUCCGCUGUGAAAGUCCAGGGCUCAACCCUGGAAUGCCGGUGGAUACUGUCGGGCUCGAAUCCGGAAGAGGUGAGUGGAAUUCCUGGUGUAGCGGUGAAAUGCGCAGAUAUCAGGAGGAACACCGGUGGCGAAGGCGGGUCCCUGGACAACUUCUGACGCUGAGGCACGAAAGCUAGGGGAGCAAACAGG